rnacentral:rRNA from 1 species
UAGGGAAUCUUCCGCAAUGGGCGAAAGCCUGACGGAGCAACGCCGCGUGAGUGAUGAAGGUCUUCGGAUCGUAAAACUCUGUUAUUAGGGAAGAACAAAUGUGUAAGUAACUAUGCACGUCUUGACGGUACCUAAUCAGAAAGCCACGGCUAACUACGUGCCAGCAGCCGCGGUAAUACGUAGGUGGCAAGCGCUAUCCGGAAUUAUUGGGCGUAAAGCGCGCGUAGGCGGUUUUUUAAGUCUGAUGUGAAAGCCCACGGCUCAACCGUGGAAGGUCAUUGGAAACUGGAAAACUGGAGUGCAGAAGAGGAAAGUGGAAUUCCAUGUGUAGCGGUGAAAUGCGCAUAGAUAUGGAGGAACACCAGUGGCGAAGGCGACUUUCUGGUCUUUAACUGACGCUGAUGUGCGAAAGCGUGGGGAUCAAACAGG